UUACGGCCAUAACACGUUAAAACAUUGAUUCUCGUAUGAUCACCGAAGUUAAGCAACGUCGAGCCUGGUCAGUACCUAGAUGAGUGAUCACUUGUGUAUACUAGG